CUUAAAUCCUCAACUGCACUUCUAAUAUAAAUAUUUCCUUGUAUUCCAUUAAGAUCAUAGAUGGUGUAAAUCCAAGCAGUAUUUCUCCUGAUUUUGUGUCCCACGUUGCCUUCAGUGUGUUGAGAGCAGAGAAAUCAUUUCCAUAGAGAGGAGGCUUUGCAUCGUCAGCUGAUCCUCCAGUGAACUGAGAAGGUUUAUAGUCCUGUGAGUUCAACACUGCAGGACUCAGAUCUGUCAGUCAACACAGCAGAAACCACAACCACCAUGACUCUCAUCACCAUCCUCAUCUGGACGCUGGCCUGCUGCUGUUUUACAGGAUGCAGCGGUCAGGUGACUGUGACUCAGCCUCCUGUAAAGACAUUUACUCCAGGAUCCACUAUCACUAUCAGCUGUAAAACAAACCAAGCGGUUGAUACAUGGUCUGCUGGUGAGAGUAUGCACUGGUAUCAACAGAAAUCUGGACAGAUUCCAAAGCUCCUAAUAAGACAUGUCAGCACACGUGAAUCAGGAACACCAGCUCGGUUUAGUGGCAGUGGAAGCAGGACUGACUUCACUUUGACCAUCAGUGGAGUUCAGACUGAAGAUGCGGCCAUGUACUACUGUAAGGGUCAAUAUAUCAUAAACAGUGCUUGGGUGUUCACACAGUGAUUUGUCGUCGUACAAAAACCUCCCUCAGUCAGACUGCAGAGACACUGAGCUGUUACAGCAGGAACCGACUGCAGCUGCUGAAGAGGAAGAGACUCUGACACAGACCACUGAACACAGAGCUGACAUGUUUUUUUUUGUCACGUGUCAGUAUUCACAGCAACGAGUAAAUUAUUAGAUUUCAUGACGGUUCCAAUGUGAAACUGUCAAAUAAAGUAGACGAUGAGGUGAAUAAAAUCUGAAUAAUAAAAAGAGUAGACAAUACAA